rnacentral:sRNA from 1 species
CAUUAUGGUAAUAUACCGUAAAAAUUCCCAAAAAUGUACUCAUCAUAUUCUCUACCCAAAUGCCUAAAAAAAUAAAAGAAGAUAUAUUAAAUUAAAAAAUAUAGAAAGAGUGAUGGUUGAAGUUCUGACUUAUGAUAGGUUCAUAUGUUGAAUUAAUUACUAAUUAUGUAUUACUUAUUUUAAGAAGUGUAGGUGGCAACCUCUCCUUUCAUGUGCUGAUGUGUAAUAUUGUGGGAGAGAGUUGAGCUCCUGUCAUAUAUAUGAUUUCUCACACUUUUUGGGAAAUAAUGUCUUAAUAUAAAUUUAAAUAGAUCGAAUACUUAAUUAUAUAGUCUAAGUAUAAAUAACAAGUUACUAAAAAUAUGAAUGUAUUGUUCAAAAUCUUAAUUUAAAACUUGUCUUGAAAUUUACUACUUCACGACAAUUUAUGGUGGCCAAUGGCAUAAUACCAACCUCG